AUGAAUUUCAGCAGCACUUUGGUUUUCCUUUUGUUUCUUUUAAAAGGUAUCCAGUGUGAGGUGCAGCUGGUGGAGUCUGGGGGAGGCUUAGUGCAGCCUGGAAGGUCCCUGAAACUCUCCUGUGUGGCCUCUGGAUUCACUUUCAGUAACUAUGACAUGAACUGGAUUCGCCAGGCUCCAGGGAAGGGGCUGGAGUGGGUUGCAUACAUUAGUAGUAGCAGUGGUACAAUCUACUAUGCGGACACUGUGAAGGGUCGAUUCACCAUCUCCAGAGACAAUGCCAAGAACACCCUGUACCUGCAACUGACCAGUCUGAGGUCUGAGGACACUGCCUUGUAUUACUGUGCAAGAGACACUCCAUAUUGGUGGUUGAACCUGGCUUGGGGCACAGGCUACACACUCUCUGUGUCCUCUGCUGAAACAACACCCCCGUCUGUCUAUCCACUGGCUCCUGGAACUGCUCUCAAAAGUAACUCCAUGGUGACCCUGGGAUGCCUGGUCAAGGGCUAUUUCCCUGAGCCAGUCACCGUGACCUGGAACUCUGGAGCCCUGUCCAGCGGUGUGCACACCUUCCCAGCUGUCCUGCAGUCUGGGCUCUACACUCUCACCAGCUCAGUGACUGUUCCCUCCAGCACCUGGCCCAGCCAGCCCGUCACCUGCAACGUAGCCCACCCGGCCAGCAGCACCAAGGUGGACAAGAAAAUUGUGCCCAGAAACGGUGGAGGUGUUUGCAAGCCUUGCAUAUGUACAGGCUCAGAAGUAUCAUCUGUCUUCAUCUUCCCCCCAAAGACCAAAGAUGUGCUCACCAUCACUCUGACUCCUAAGGUCACAUGUGUUGUGGUAGACAUUAGCCAGAAUGAUCCUGAGGUCCGGUUCAGCUGGUUUAUAGAUGACGUGGAAGUCCACACAGCUCAGACUCACCCACCGGAGAAGCAGUCCAACAGCACUUUACGCUCAGUCAGUGAACUCCCCAUCGUGCACCAGGACUGGCUCAAUGGCAGGACGUUCAGAUGCAAGGUCACCAGUGCAGCUUUCCCAGCCCCCAUCGAGAAAACCAUCUCCAAAUCCGAAGGAAGACCACGAGGUCCACAGGUAUACACCAUGCCACCUCCCAAGGAACAGAUGACCCAGAGUGAAGUCAGUAUCACCUGCUUGAUAACAGGCUUCUAUCCCAGGGACAUUUCUGUGGAGUGGCAGAUGAACGGGCAGCCACAGGAGAACUACAAGAACACUCUGCCUACUGUAGACACAGAUAAGAGUUACUUCCUCUACAGCAAGCUCAACGUGAAGAAGGAAACAUGGCAACGGGGAAACCUUUUCACGUGUUCUGUGCUGCAUGAGGGCCUGCACAACCACCAUACUGAGAAGAGUCUCUCCCACUCUCCUGGGAUGGAAGUGGAUGAUGACUGUGCUGAGGCCCAGGAUGGGGAGCUGGACGGGCUCUGGACGACCAUCACCAUCUUCAUCAGCCUCUUCCUGCUCAGUGUGUGCUACAGCGCUGCUGUCACACUCUUCAAGGUAAAGUGGAUCUUCUCCUCAGUGGUAGGGUUGAAGCAGACGCUGGUUCCUGAAUACAAGAACAUGAUUGGACAAGGGCCUUAA